rnacentral:lncRNA from 1 species
UGUAAAUGCACCACUCCAGACGUGGAGUGCAACCCGGGCUCCGAGUGCCAGUCAGGCUGCGUCUUCAUGCCCCAGAGGAAGAGGCCUCCCUGUCUGUGCCUGCUCAGGCUGUUGCAGCAGAACACCGCGGAUGGGGUAGCUCCUCAGCAGCAGGCCUGCUCCUAGGUCUGAAGGCCGGGAAGUCUGCAGUCAAGGCUCUGGCAGAGGUGGUGUCUGGUGAGGGUGUCCUGGCAGAUAAACGGCACCUUCACACUGGCACGAAGGAGGGGCCUGGGAGCUCUUGGGGUCCCCUUUGGUCCCAACACAGAGAUCUACCCUUGUGACCUAGUCACCUCCUAAAAUCAUCAUCUUGAGGGAGAGGCUCCAACAUGACUUUUGGGGACACGACAUUCAGACGAGAGCACUGAUUACCUUCCCCGUCCUUCUCUACCGCGUCUCUGCUCCUCUGCCUGCCUGCACCGCUGCUGUCACUGUUAAUCCUCUCCUGGAGCUGUCCUCCUCUCCAGUGAGUGGAAAGGAACUGAAAGGUCCUUCCCCCACCUCUGACCUCACUUCCACUCUUAGCAACCUAGAGUAGUCACUGCUCCAUGGAAGGUUCGCUGCGGCCGCUGUUCACGUCAGGCUGAGUGCUGGCCAUCAUGUCCAGCAUCUGGCCUCC